GCCUCGUUAGCUUAGUUGGUAGUGCGUCUGCCUUGUAAGCGCUAGGCCGCGGGUUCGAUUCCUGCCCGGGGCG
rnacentral:tRNA from 1 species